rnacentral:rRNA from 1 species
GCGAACGCUGGCGGCAGGCUUAACACAUGCAAGUCGAGCGGGCAUCCUUGUGGUGUCAGCGGCAGACGGGUGAGUAACGCGUGGGAACGUGCCCUUCGGUUCGGAAUAACUCAGGGAAACUUGAGCUAAUACCGGAUACGUGCGAGAGCAGAAAGGUUUAUCUGCCGAAGGAUCGGCCCGCGUCUGAUUAGCUAGUUGGCGAGGUUACGGCUCACCAAGGCGACGAUCAGUAGCUGGUCUGAGAGGAUGAUCAGCCACACUGGGACUGAGACACGGCCCAGACUCCUACGGGAGGCAGCAGUGGGGAAUAUUGGACAAUGGGGGCAACCCUGAUCCAGCCAUGCCGCGUGAGUGAUGACGGCCUUAGGGUUGUAAAGCUCUUUUCUCCGGGACGAUAAUGACGGUACCGGAGGAAUAAGCCCCGGCUAACUUCGUG